GUUUUUUUCGCAAAAUAAAAGUCAUCUUCUAGAUUGCAUGGAAAAUUUUAAAAUUAAUAUUAAUGGAACAGUCAUAUCAAUCGUUGUGGAAAAAGACAAAAAGCGAAUUGCUCUUUUUUGAAGUAGAAACAGUAAGUCAAAUCUACAUUGAGCACAUGAGCCCGAAAAACAUAUGCCAGAGCUUCGGUGAGACUCCACAAGAGCAUGAAGCAGCGCGCGCCGGAUCGAAGUACAAAGCACCGCCAAACCAGUAGGCGUGCAUUCCCACGUGGGAUAUGAAUGUACCUCAGGCUAUUCAAACAAAUUUAUUUUUGAAAAACCGAGAAAAAAUGUGGUUUAAAAGGCAG